rnacentral:rRNA from 1 species
UACAGAGGUCUCAAGCGUUGUUCGGAUUCAUUGGGCGUAAAGGGUGCGUAGGUGGCGUCGUAAGUCGGGUGUGAAAUUUCGGAGCUUAACUCCGAAACUGCAUUCGAUACUGCGGUGCUUGAGGACUGGAGAGGAGACUGGAAUUUACGGUGUAGCGGUGAAAUGCGUAGAUAUCGUAAGGAAGACCAGUGGCGAAGGCGGGUCUCUGGACAGUUCCUGACGCUGAGGAGCGAAAGCGUGGGGAGCGAACAGG